AUACAGAGGGUGCAAGCGUUAAUCGGAAUUACUGGGCAUAAAGCGCGCGUAGGCGGUUUGUUAAGUUGGAUGUGAAAGCCCCGGGCUUAACCUGGGAGGGUCAUUCAAAACUGGCAGACUAGAGUGUGGUAGAGGGUAGUGGAAUUCCUAGUGUAGCGGUGAAAUGCGUAGAGAUUAGGAGGAACACCAGUGGCGAAGGCGACUGCCUGGACCAACACUGACGCUGAGGUGCGAAAGCGUGGGUAGCGAACAGGAUUAGAAACCCUAGUAGUCC
rnacentral:rRNA from 1 species